rnacentral:lncRNA from 1 species
UCCCCGAGGAGGCAAGUGAGCGUGAGCGGUGCUUGAUACCAGCGCUGAGCUGCACAACCAAGGCAGGGAUUCGAGGCAGGGGAGCUGAACCCAGGGCUCCUUUAAAGAUCACAAGCCAGAAAAUCAGCCGCUCUUGCUUCUGGAGUAGCCUCUGUGCACGUGGUGAAGCGAGGUUGUGUGCGUGGCGGGGCUGCCUUUGCGGGGUGGGGGUGUGGAGAGCCGCCCCCCCAGCUCUCCUGGCUUGUGGGAAUGUUAUGGCAGUUUGUCCCCGAGCAGGGUUUCUGAGAAGGUGUUCCCGGGGCCCGACCUGCUAGAGGAAGUGUCUGGAGGCCCUCACAGCCUUCUCUCCACAGGAGGUCCUGCGCCUUGACCACACAAGCGUGGCCCUUCCUCCAGACCCCCGCUCCGGACGCGCCCACCUAGCGUCUCCCAGGAACCAUGCGGCAGCUCAAGGGGAAGCCCAAGAAGGAGACGUCCAAGGACAAGAAGGAGCGGAAGCAGGCCAUGCAGGAGGCCCGGCAGCAGAUCACCACCGUGGUGCUGCCCACGCUGGCCGUGGUCGUGGUCCUGAUCGUGGUGUUUGUGUACGUGGCCACGCGCCCCACCAUCACCGAGUGAGGGCCCGCCCCGAGGGAGGAGGCUCGGGAGGGGAGAGCAGAAGAAGGGCCUUCAUCCGCUGCGAUUUUCCUGAUGCCGAGCUCUGAGCAGGAGCCCCCGUCUCCUCUGGUCUGUGACUUGAUUAAAGGUUCUCCACUUUUCUCGGGAGGGAAUAGGAAACGUUUUAUCAGUGAACGUGCCAUACACCUUAUGGUCCACUUCAUGUGCCUUUCAGACUUCAAAGCCGUGUGUGUGUGUGUGUGUGUGUGUGUGUGUGUUUCUCGCCUGCAAUCGAUGUGUAGCCCCACCUGGUGAGAGGAGGCGUCUCUGGGUCACGGAUCAGUUGGAAUCAGUGCUCACCCCAUCCCCGUUGUUUUGAACAUGACUUUCCUACACGUGUUCACAAUUUCCAAAGGGACUGUGUUUCUUCUCUGUGCUUCAUGUGAUUUGAAAUAUGUCGACUCAGAAGUGAAAUAUUUAUUUUUUGAAUAAAGGAGAUGAUAGCC